CGAUUGACACGACUCUCGGCAAUGGAUAUCUCGGCUCUCGCAUCGGUGAAGAGCGCAGCGAAAUGCGAUAUGUGGUGCGAAUUGCAGAAUCCCGCGAACCAUCGAGUCUUUGAACGCAAGUUGCGCCUGAGGCGAACCGGGUAAGGCCACGACCGCCUGGGCGUAAAG
rnacentral:rRNA from 1 species